rnacentral:rRNA from 2 species
UAGACCGCCUGGGGAGUACGGCCGCAAGGUUAAAACUCAAAUGAAUUGACGGGGGCCCGCACAAGCGGUGGAGCAUGUGGUUUAAUUCGAUGCAACGCGAAGAACCUUACCUGGUCUUGACAUCCACGGAAGUUUUCAGAGAUGAGAAUGUGCCUUCGGGAACCGUGAGACAGGUGCUGCAUGGCUGUCGUCAGCUCGUGUUGUGAAAUGUUGGGUUAAGUCCCGCAACGAGCGCAACCCUUAUCCUUUGUUGCCAGCGAUUAGGUCGGGAACUCAAAGGAGACUGCCAGUGAUAAACUGGAGGAAGGUGGGGAUGACGUCAAGUCAUCAUGGCCCUUACGACCAGGGCUACACACGUGCUACAAUGGCGCAUACAAAGAGAAGCGACCUCGCGAGAGCAAGCGGACCUCAUAAAGUGCGUCGUAGUCCGGAUUGGAGUCUGCAACUCGACUCCAUGAAGUCGGAAUCGCUAGUAAUCGUGGAUCAGAAUGCCACGGUGAAUACGUUCCCGGGCCUUGUACACACCGCCCGUCACACCAUGGGAGUGGGUUGCAAAAGAAGUAGGUAGCUUAACCUUCGGGAGGGCGCUUACCACUUUGUGAUUCAUGACUGGGGUGAAGUCGUAACAAGGUAACCGUAGGGGAACCUGCGGUUGGAUCACCUCCUUACCUUAAAGAA